rnacentral:rRNA from 1 species
AUUGAACGCUGGCGGCAGGCCUAACACAUGCAAGUCGGACGGUAGCACAGAGGAGCUUGCUCCUCGGGUGACGAGUGGCGGACGGGUGAGUAAUGUCUGGGGAUCUGCCCGAUAGAGGGGGAUAACCACUGGAAACGGUGGCUAAUACCGCAUAACGUCGCGAGACCAAAGAGGGGGACCUUCGGGCCUCUCACUAUCGGAUGAACCCAGAUGGGAUUAGCUAGUAGGCGGGGUAACGGCCACCUAGGCGACGAUCCCUAGCUGGUCUGAGAGGAUGACCAGCCACACUGGAACUGAGACACGGUCCAGACUCCUACGGGAGGCAGCAGUGGGGAAUAUUGCACAAUGGGCGCAAGCCUGAUGCAGCCAUGCCGCGUGUAUGAUGAAGGCCUUCGGGUUGUAAAGUACUUUCAGCGGGGAGGAAGGCGAUGUGGUUAAUAACCGCGUCGAUUGACGUUACCCGCAGAAGAAGCACCGGCUAACUCCGUGCCAGCCGCCGCCGUAA